UACGUAGGUGGCAAGCGUUAUCCGGAUUUACUGGGUGUAAAGGGCGUGUAGGCGGGAGCGCAAGUCAGAUGUGAAAUUCCAGGGCUCAACCCUGGACCUGCAUUUGAAACUGUGUUUCUUGAGUGAUGGAGAGGCAGGCGGAAUUCCCUGUGUAGCGGUGAAAUGCGUAGAUAUAGGGAGGAACACCAGUGGCGAAGGCGGCCUGCUGGACAUUAACUGACGCUGAGGCGCGAAAGCGUGGGGAGCAAACAGG
rnacentral:rRNA from 1 species